CUAUCGUGUGCUUAAAAUGUAAAGGAAUAGAAAAAAUCAAUAUAAUAAAUGUGAAACUAUUGAAAUGUUGUGGUAUCUAUGUAUGUACAAAUUGUAUCAAUUCUAGAACGGGAACAUUAUGUUGGUGUGGAAAAGAUUUAGUGGAAGAAAAAAUCGUCUGCUCAAAUUGUAAAAAAAUAAGAAAAGGCGUUGAUGGUAAUUCGGUCAUUAUGAAAUGUUGUGGAAAAAAUUUAUGUGAUUAUUGUAUCAAUAAUUACAUGAAAACUAGUUGUUUAUGCGGAGAAGACUUAGUAAAAGGUAUUCCUUUCAAACGGAAACGAAAAUGUACGAAGUGUAAAAUGAAUAUUGGAAAAUAUAAUUUUUCUCCUCGUUGUCCACAAAUAUUUUGCGAGAAUUGUUUUAACUCGGUAAAAACUAUUUAUAAAAACAGAUGCAGCUAUUGUUGGGAACAGAAUAUCAAUACAGAGAAAACAUCAUUCUUCUGUUUUCGUUGAAUAUGAUAUUUAAUUGUAAUACAAUAUACUAUGUAAAAUAAUAAUUAAUAA